CUACGUGCCAGCAGCCGCGGUAAUACGGAAGGUCCAGGCGUUAUCCGGAUUUAUUGGGUUUAAAGGGAGCGUAGGCUGGAGAUUAAGUGUGUUGUGAAAUGUAGACGCUCAACGUCUGACUUGCAGCGCAUACUGGUUUCCUUGAGUACGCACAACGUUGGCGGAAUUCGUCGUGUAGCGGUGAAAUGCUUAGAUAUGACGAAGAACUCCGAUUGCGAAGGCAGCUGACGGGAGCGCAACUGACGCUUAAGCUCGAAGGUGCGGGUAUCAAACAGGAUUAGAUACCCUGGUAGUCCGCACAGUAAACGAUGGAUGCCCGCUGUUGGUACCUGGUAUCAGCGGCUAAGCGAAAGCAUUAAGCAUCCCACCUGGGGAGUACGCCGGCAACGGUGAAACUCAAAGGAAUUGACGGGGGCCCGCACAAGCGGAGGAACAUGUGGUUUAAUUCGAUGAUACGCGAGGAACCUUACCCGGGCUUGAA
rnacentral:rRNA from 1 species